rnacentral:rRNA from 1 species
CCCUUAGAUGGUCUGGGCGGCACGCGCGCUACAAUGAUGCAUUCAAAAAGUCUUCUGACCUUAGAAGGUUGGGUAUUCUCCAAAGUGCAUCGUGAUGGGAAUAGUUUAUUGCAAUUUUUAAUCUUGAACGAGGAAUUCCUAGUAAGUACAGGUCAUCAACUUGUGUUGAUUACGUCCCUGCCCUUUGUACACACCGCCCGUCGCUCCUACUGACUGAGUGUCUCGGUGAAUUCUUUGAUCUUCUGUCGAUUCAGUUCACUGAUCCGACGGUGGAAAGUUGAAUGAACUUCGUCACUUAGAGGAAGGAGAAGUCGUAACA